AGAGUUUGAUCCUGGGCUCAGGGGAUGAACNNGCUAGCUACAGGGCUUAACACAUGCAAGUCGAACGGAGUAGCAAUACUCAGUGGCAAACGGGUGAGUAACACGUAUCCAACCUAACCUCUACUCGGGUAUAGCCUUUCGAAAGGAAGAGUAAUCCCUGAUGUUAUAUGUGAUUCACAUGCAUUGCAUAUCAAAGAUUUAUCGGUAGAGGGUGGGGAUGCGUUCCAUUAGAUAGUCGGCGGGGUAACGGCCCACCGAGUCGAUGAUGGAUAGGGGUUCUGAGAGGAAGGUCCCCCACAUUGGAACUGCGACACGGUCCAAACUCCUACGGGAGGCAGCAGUGAGGAAUAUUGGUCAAUGGCCGGAAGGCUGAACCAGCCAAGUAGCGUGAAGGAUGACGGCCCUAUGGGUUGUAAACUUCUUUUUUAUGGGAAUAACGAUAGUCACGUGUGACUAUGUGCAUGUACCAUACGAAUAAGGAUCGGCUAACUCCGUGCCAGCAGCCGCGGUAAUACGGAGGAUCCGAGCGUUAUCCGGAUUUAUUGGGUUUAAAGGGAGCGUAGGCGGGAUAUCAAGUCAGCUGUGAAAUGUAGAUGCUCAACAUCUGCACUGCAGUUGAAACUGGUGUUCUUGAGUGCGUAAGAGGUAGGCGGAAUUCGUCGUGUAGCGGUGAAAUGCAUAGAUAUGACGAAGAACUCCGAUUGCGAAGGCAGCUUACUGGGCCGCAACUGACGCUGAAGCUCGAAGGUGCGGGUAUCANACAGGAUUAGAUACCCUGGUAGUCCGCACAGUAAACGAUGGAUACUCGCUGUCGGCGAUAUACAGUCGGUAGCCAAGCGAAAGCAUUAAGUAUCCCACCUGGGGAGUACGCCGGCAACGGUGAAACUCAAAGGAAU
rnacentral:rRNA from 1 species